AGUCUCCUAAUUUUUAGGGACUGAUGUUAUUUUUAACGUGUCUCCUAUUUUUAGGGACC
rnacentral:pre_miRNA from 13 species